rnacentral:SRP_RNA from 11 species
CUCGUCGUCGGCGUCGAAUGUUGCGGUCUUCGCGCGGGCCACUGUGCUCGCGUCGCGCGAGUAGUCGAUGAUCACGGACUUGGAUCUCCGCAUACCCGGCAUGGCCUCCUCCAGGG